GGUCUAUCGUUAUGGUAACAGAAGAUUUUGAAAGUCUUCACUAGACGUUCAAUUCGUCUAUAGACCU
rnacentral:tRNA from 1 species